UACGGGGGGGGCAAGCGUUGUUCGGAAUUACUGGGCGUAAAGGGCUCGUAGGCGGCCAACUAAGUCAGACGUGAAAUCCCUCGGCUUAACCGGGGAACUGCGUCUGAUACUGGAUGGCUUGAGGUUGGGAGAGGGAUGCGGAAUUCCAGGUGUAGCGGUGAAAUGCGUAGAUAUCGUGAGGAACACCAGAGGCGAAGGCGGCUACCUGGACAAUUGCUGACGCUCAGGCACGAAAGCGUGGGGAGCAAAAGGG
rnacentral:rRNA from 1 species